CCUACGGGAGGCAGCAGUGAGGAAUAUUGGUCAAUGGACGCAAGCCUGAACCAGCCAUGCCGCGUGAAGGAUGACGGCUCUAUGAGUUGUAAACUGCUUUUGUACGGGGUUAAACGCAGGUACGUGUGUCUGUCUGCAAGUACUGUACGAAUAAGGAUCGGCUAACUCCGUGCCAGCAGCCGCGGUAAUACGGAGGAUUCAAGCGUUAUCCGGAUUUAUUGGGUGUAAUGGGUGCGUAGGCGGUAGGAUAAGUUAGAGGUGAAAUCCCGAGGCUAAACUUGGGAAUUGCCUCUAAUACUGUUAAGCUAGAGAGUAGUUGCGGUAGGCGGAAUGUAUGGUGUAGCGGUGAAAUGCUUAGAGAUCA
rnacentral:rRNA from 1 species